AAACCAACAGGGAUUGCCUUAGUAACGGCGAGUGAACAGGCAAGAGCUCAGAUUUGAAAGCCUUUCGGGGCAUUGUAUUCUGAAGCCUUGAUUCUGAGAACCGGUACCUAAGUCUUCUGGAAAGGAGCGCCAAGGAGGGUGAUAGCCCCGUACGGUACUGACCUCAUUGUAGAAUCUUGGCGUGGAGUCGAGUUGUUUGGGAAUGCAGCUCAAAUGGGUGGUAUGCUCCAUCUAAAGCUAAAUAUCUGCGAGAGACCGAUAGCGAACAAGUACUGUGAAGGAAAGAUGAAAAGAACUUUGAAAAGAGAGUGAAAAAGUACGUGAAAUUGUUGAAAUGGAAGGAUAGGCCGCUAACCACGUAGAGCCGUGUCUGAGGGGAGGAUAAAAGCUGUAGAAUGUGGCUCUUCGGAGUGUUAUAGCUGCAGUGCAUACUCCCACUCGGGCGCGA
rnacentral:rRNA from 1 species